rnacentral:rRNA from 1 species
GAUGAACGCUAGCGGCGGGCUUAAUACAUGCAAGUCGAGGGGCAGCACGAUGUAGCAAUACAUUGGUGGCGACCGGCGGACGGGUGCGUAACACGUAUGCAACUUGCCCUAUACUGGGGGAUAGCCCGAAGAAAUUCGGAUUAAUACCCCAUAACAUCAGAACAAGCAUUUGUUUUGGUUCAAAACUCCGGUGGUAUAGGAUGGGCAUGCGGUCGAUUAGCUUGUUGGUGAGGUAACGGCUCACCAAGGCGACGAUCGAUAGGGGGCCUGAGAGGGUGAUCCCCCACACUGGUACUGGGAAACGGACCCGACUCCUACGGGAGGCAGCAGUAAGGAAUAUUGGUCAAUGGGCGAAAGCCUGAACCAGCCACGCCGCGUGAAGGAAGACGGCCCUAUGGGUUGUAAACUUCUUUUGUACGAGAAUAAACCUCAGGACGUGUCCUGGGCUGAAGGUACCGUACGAAUAAGGAUCGGCUAACUCCGUGCCAGCCGCCGCCGUAAGAC